GACGGAGGGUGCAAGCGUUGUUCGGAUUGACUGGGCGUAAAGGGCGUGUAGGCGGUUGGUCCAGUCGGGUGUGGAAGCCUGAGGCCCAGCCUCAGAAGGGCAUCCGAAACUAGCCAGCUAGAGCGCGAUAGAGGAGGGUGGAAUUCCUGGUGUAGCGGUGAAAUGCGUAGAUAUCAGGAGGAACAGCGGCGGCGAAGGCGGCCCUCUGGCUCGUUGCUGACGCUGAGACGCGAAAGCGUGGGGAGCAAACAGG
rnacentral:rRNA from 1 species